rnacentral:rRNA from 1 species
UAAAACGACCGCCUGUUUAUCAAAAACAUGGUAUUUUGAUUUUAUUUAAUAUCAUACCUGCCCACUGAUUACUUGAAGGGCCGCGGUAUAUUGACCGUGCAAAGGUAGCAUAAUCAUUAGGUUUUUAAUUGGAAUCUGGAAUGAAAGGUUUUACGGGAUAUUAACUGUCUUAAUUUAAUAUAUUGAAUUUAACUUUUUAGUUAAAAGGCUUAAAUGGGAAUAAAGGACGAGAAGACCCUAUAGAUCUUUAUAAUUAUUUUUUAUUAGUUAUUUAGGUAAAUUUGAUUAAUAUAGUUGUUAAUUAUUUUACUGGGGCGGUGUAUAGAAAAUUUUAACUCUUUAUUUGAUAAAUAUAGAUUAUUAGCUUAAUGAAUCAUAAUUAAUGAUUUAAGAUAAAGUUACCUUAGGGAUAACAGCGUUAUUUAUUUGGAGAGUUCAUAUUGAUAAAUAAGUUUGCGACCUCGAUGUUGAAUUAAGAGUUCAAUUGGAUGUAGAAGUUCUUUAGGAAAGUCUGUUCGAC